rnacentral:SRP_RNA from 1 species
GCCGGGCGCCAUGGCACGUGCCUGUAGUCCCAGCUACUCGGGAGGCUGAGGCUGGAGGAUCUCUUGAGUCCAGGAGUUCUGGGCUGUAGUGCGCUAUGCCGAUCGGGUGUCCACACUAAGUUCAGCAUCAAUAUGGUGACCUCCCGGGAGCAGAGGACCACCAGGUUGCUUAAGGAGGACUGAACCGGCCCAGGUGGGAAACGGAGCAGGUCAAAACUCCCGUGCUGAUCAGUAGUGGGAUCACUCCUGUGAAUAGCCACUGCACUCCAGCCUGGGCAACGUAGCAAGACCCUGUCUCU